rnacentral:lncRNA from 1 species
CGUCUUCUGCAUCCUCUUAGUUGGAUAGCACCAACGAUUUUGCACGGGCCCACCCAAACUUGCCUCGGUCGGUAGAUGUAAAAUCAAAUGCUGCAUUGGAUUGAAGAAGCCCGGCGGAAAUAUCUUUUCUAACUUGCACAACAACUACGGUGCAAACUCCUCCAUGUCAUCUGCCACGCCAGACGACAAUUCUUUCGCACAAAUAACACAAAAGAAAAA